rnacentral:rRNA from 1 species
GAUGAACGCUGGCGGCGUGCCUAAUACAUGCAAGUCGAGCGAACAGACGAGGAGCUUGCUCCUCUGACGUUAGCGGCGGACGGGUGAUGAACACGUGGAUAACCUACCUAUAGGACUGGGAUAACUUCGGGAAACCUGAUCUAAUACCGGAUAAUAUAUUGAACCGCAUGGUUCAAUAGUGAAAGACGGUUUUGCUGUCACUUAUAGAUGGAUCCGCGCCGCAUUAGCUAGUUGGUAAGGUAACGGCUUACCAAGGCAACGAUGCGUAGCCGACCUGAGAGGGUGAUCAGCCACACUGGAACUGAGACACGGUCCAGACUCCUACGGGAGGCAGCAGUAGGGAAUAUUCCGCAAUGGGCGAAAGCCUGACGGAGCCACGCCGCGUGAGUGAUGAAGGUCUUCGGAUCGUAAAACUCUGUUAUUAGGGAAGAACAAAUGUGUAAGUAACUAUGCACGUCUUGACGGUACCUACUCAGAAAGCAACGGCUAACUACGUG